rnacentral:lncRNA from 7 species
UACCUUCUAGAUUUUCAGAGAGACACUUAGAAUUUUGUGGACUAAUAUGACUGUUCCACCACCUUGAGCGGGAUUUUCUUGAGUGCACCUUUCUUUUCAUCUUCACCAAAAUAUAAGAAAAUCUCCUCUGAUAUGCAGAGCUAAUUGAAAUUCAAAAGGAACAGUGAGUAGUUAAAAUGAUGUGCAUGAUGCAAGCAACAUGACUAGCCUUGUUAAGAAGGCUGCAAGUGCAGGAGCAAUAGAACCCCAUGCAACCUAUAAGAAACUUAAGAUAGUCGACUAAAUCGUUUCAGUAGUUAUAAUAAUGUAAUCCAUGAAAGAAAGCGAAAAAUUACUAAAAAUCUUUAAAAUACAAAAAUGUGUAACUGCUGCCACAGACCCAUAACAAGUAAUGGUCUUAAUUUCAGUUUUGAUUAAGUAACUACAACUUACAUGUACAAACAAAAUAAAUAUAUGCAAUACUCUAGCCAACAGAGUUAAUCUUGCCUGCUCUAUACAACAUGACAAUUACUAAUAAAUUAUCUGAGAUAAGAGAAGCCUUAUCCUAGAAAUAAGGAUGGCAUGCAGCAGGACUAGAAUUCUGAUGCAUGCCAGGGACACAAAAAGUGUCACAUAAUGGCUACCAAGAAGAGGCAAGGCAUCAUUUCACUAUGAUCUUAACAGCAACGCUGUCAUGAAGCCCAAGGCAAGUAAUAAUCUGCUAUCCAAAAAAAGUAGCAUACAAGGAUUGAAUGACAAUGACCCUUUCUCUUCCUGAAAGGAACAUACUAUUUUAAGAAGACAUUUGAAAAUAGAUAAAAUAUGCAAUCUGAUUUUGGAGAAAAUAUGCAUUAUAUAUCAGGAUUAACAUAAGAGAGGGCCCGCCACAAAUAUUUUCAUGCUUUCUGAGCAGUUUUGUCAGGAAAAAAGGUUAUACAUGUAUAUUGGGACAUUUAGAAUUUGAUGAGAAUGAAGUUGAUCAGACCUUGUAUAACGAUCAUUUGUUUACAUUAUGAAAGGAAUCAUACUUGUUUACCACCAUUGACAAGUCCAAGUGCAAAAGACGCUGCAACUAGAGCUCUAGAGGGGUUAGGUGGGUCAGGGAACUAGAUUCAAUAAUCUGGGAAUGAACUGAAACAUAGACAAGAAGAAUGGACAACACAAGGUACCCCACAUUGAUCAAAACUUGAGGAUUGAAGCAAGAUGCCGCGAACUCACAACCAAAAAUGUACUUGUCAAUGUCCAGCAAUGAGACCACUCAAUUUAAUACUAUUAUUAAGUAUCUAGGAUCCGCCAAACAAACAUGGCAGGGCUCACACCUAGAUGUGCACAUGGAAGCCUGAGGUGAUGGUCAUUAUCCCUGAGUG